GUGCUCGCUUUGGCAGCACGUACACUAAAAUUGGAACAAUACGGAGAUUAGCACUGUCCCCGUGUAAGAAUGACAUGAAAGUUCAUGAAGUGUUCAAUUAAAAA
ensembl:snRNA U6 U6 spliceosomal RNA